GAAGUGAGCCAGACGAUCGCUGCUGUGGAGAUCUCCGUGAUUGAAGCAGGGGAGGAAAGUCCGGGCUUCAUAGGGCAAGGUGCCAGGUAACGCCUGGGCGGCGUGAGCCGACGGAAAGUGCAGCAGAGAGUAGACCGCCUUCAUUAUGGUUUCGAGCAAUCGAAAUCGGAGGUAAGGGUGAAAGGGUGCGGUAAGAGC
rnacentral:RNase_P_RNA from 1 species